rnacentral:rRNA from 1 species
UGCGUAGGCGGAUUAAUAAGUCAGUGGUGAAAUCUUUCGGCUCAACCGAGAAACUGCCAUUGAUACUGUUAAUCUUGAGUUCGGUUGAGGUAGGCGGAGUGUGUAAUGUAGCGGUGAAAUGCUUAGAUAUUACACAGAACACCAAUUGCGUAGGCAGCUUACUAGACCGACACUGACGCUGAGGCACGAAAGCGUGGGGAGCGAACAGGAUUAGAUACCCUGGUAGUCC